AGAGUUUGAUCCUGGCUCAGAACAAACGCUGGCGGCGUGCCUAACACAUGCAAGUCGAACGUGAAAGUCUUUCGGGAUGAGUAAAGUGGCAAACGGGUGAGUAACACAUGAGAAUCUGCCCUUAAGUGGAGGAUAACUUUGGGAAACCGGAGGUAAUCCUGCAUAAUUUCGUAAGAAUAAAGAUGGCCUCUUCCUAUCGCUUAAGGAUGAGCUUGUGGUCUAUUAGCUAGUUGGUGAGGUAAUGGCUCUACCAAGGCAAUGAUGGAUAUCUGGCCUGAGAGGGUGUACGGACACAUUGGGACUGAGAUACGGCCCAAACUCCUACGGGAGGCAGCAGUGGGGAAUAUUGCGCAAUGGGCGAAAGCCUGACGCAGCGACGCCGCGUGGAGGAUGAAGGUCUUUGGAUUGUAAACUUCUGUUAUACGGGAAAAAAUACGCAUGGCUAAUAUCCAUGCGGGAUGAUUGUACUGUAAAAGAAAGCCCCGGCUAACUUCGUGCCAGCAGCCGCGGUAAUACGAAGGGGGCGAGCGUUGUUCGGAAUUACUGGGUGUAAAGUGUAUGUAGGUGGUUCCUUAAGUCUAAUGUUUAAUUUUGCGGCCUAACCGCAAGUCUGUGUUGGAUACUGGGGAUCUAGAGGCUUAUAGAGAGAAGUGGAAUUUUCGGAGUAGCGGUGAAAUGCGUAGAUCUCGAAAGGAACAUCAGUGGCGAAGGCGGCUUCUUGGAUAAUGUCUGACACUAAAGUACGAAAGCGUGGGGAGCAAACAGGAUUAGAUACCCUGGUAGUCCAA
rnacentral:rRNA from 1 species